AGAGGCAUCACCAGCUCCUGAUGUCAGGGCCAGGCCCUGAGGUAGACUUUUAAUUCUUUCAGGGGAAAAUAAUGUGUGAGAAACUAGGCAAGAAGCAAGACAUCUCUUGCCACCGCAGAGCUAGAAGAAGCUGGAGGAAGCUGGAAAGGCCCAGGAAUGGAUCCCAACCUAACUGGGUUCCUCCGUCAAUGAGUCCAUCUGGUUUGGAAUAAACCCAGACGCAGAGUUUAAACAGCAGGGCUUCCCGGUGGGCUGCAGUAAAGGCUGGACUGCACUUGAAACCCACCUCACUCUUUUCCACAUUCUGGACCCGCACCUACGAGUUGCCCUUUGGAAGUAUUGCCUCGAUAUGGUUUCCUUGUCUCCUCAUCUCAAGAUCGUUCCCUGGAGACCCAGAGUCAAACAAGGGAACCUGAGUUCUAAGUGGAUGAACAGUUUUCCCUGAAUUGGAUCCUCAAGACCAGCCACGUGGAAUGAUCGCUGGAGAACCCAGAGCGAAGGUUGCCUUCUAGAACUCUGUUACCUUGUCUCUGUCCCUGUCUAAAUAGCCAUGUCAUUUGAACCCUUGGCUCUCUUCCUGACUAAAUAAAGAUUGCCUUUCCAUCU
ensembl:lincRNA 2310043O21Rik RIKEN cDNA 2310043O21 gene